rnacentral:rRNA from 1 species
AUUGAACGCUGGCGGUAGGCCUAACACAUGCAAGUCGAACGGUAACACAGAACUGGUUUCUUCUUCCGUGAUGCGUGGCGGGGGCGUGUGAGGUGUCUAGGAAACUGUAUGAUUUCGGGGGGUAUCUACUAGAAACAGUUACUCAAAUACCGUAACGUCGCUAGGCGUAAAAGGAGGAGAUUUUUGCACCUUGCGCUCGUGUAUGAGCCGAUGUGGUUUUAGCUAGUAGGCGGGGUAACGGCCCACCUAGGCGACGAUCUGUAGCUGGUCUGAGAGGAUGAUCAGCCACACUGGAACUGAGACACGGUCCAGACUCCUACGGGAGGCAGCAGUGGGGAAUAUUGGACAAUGGGCGCAAGCCUGAUCCAGCCAUGCCGCGUGGAUGAAGAAGGCCUUCGGGUUGUAAAGCACUUUUAUUGGGUAGGAAAAGAGUAAAGUUAAUACCCCGCCGUUGUGACGGUACCCGAAGAAGAAGCACCGGCUAACUCCGUG